rnacentral:lncRNA from 1 species
AGAGCCCCAUGUUGUGACCAGGAGGCCCUCCAGAGCCAAGAAGCCCUCACUCAUCUAUAACUUGAUCAUUUGAACCUGCUAACACUUCCAGCCCCGACCUGCUGUUGCUGCUGCUGAGCCAGUGCUGAGCGGACCAGACCCCCAGCCCCUUCUCCAAACUUAGCACAACUUGUCCAAAUAAAGAGCCUACUACCUAGAGAUGUGAUGAGAUAUUUCUGAAUUAAUUGGGAAAAACCAGGUUGCUGAGCAGACACUUUGGAGAAGACCUCUCUGCCUCAGGUGUCCCAUGGGAAGAACAUUCCAAAGAAUUCACUCAGGAGAAAGACUGCCUUAGAGACUUGAAAAUG